rnacentral:misc_RNA from 1 species
UGGAUCGCGGUUCUUAAUUGAUAGUUUGAAUAAUCAUGGGCUAUGCGUGUCCUAUUCAGAGGUACUGAACUUUGCAUCAAGUGCGGCUUGUUUUAAGGGCACAGAUAUUCCGAUAGCUGGACACUUUGGACAGUACAUAGCAGACAAUGUUGACCACAAUCUGAGGACUUUAGAUGGACGUGGUACAGUCCAUGCAAUGGGCAUCAUAAUGACAAUGACCCCUGGUAUGCCAAAAAGACAAGGUGCUAUUCCGCGACUAACCCAGAUCUCAACAACAGGCGGACUGGAGGAUGCCAAAAUUGCAAUUCACUGCUAUAGACACCUUAAAGGGAAGAGCCUUCCAUUGGUAUUCAAGAAAUUGCCCCUGGUCGAAGUGGCCGACAAACAGCAUGGAAAACUGGACACUUUGUGGAAAGUAUCAUGGUCCCUUCGACCACGGCCCCAGGCUGGAGUGGAAUGAUGCAGGCGUUGCGCAAGGGGGACCAUCCAGGGAAGGCUAGUGUUCACUUCCUUCCUAUGUUGGAUCUUGACCCAACUGUUAUGACAUGCAUUUAUUCUACACUCCACUUCGUUGCUACUGAAAGCAAGCGUCAAGGCACAGUUCCAGUGGUCACAUUCGACCAGCUCUCUGGUGGAAAUCUAGAACAAUCAUUCUGAAUGAAGAUGCAGCCAGCAUUCUCAAGCCAAUCAUUCUGAUACUUGGGGGUUUUCACACCACAAUGAGUUACUUUGGCAGUAUCGGUCACAUAAUGCAAGGAUCGGGCCUGAAGGAAACGCUGGAGCUAGUUUAUGCUGGCAAUGCUGUGGAGCACAUGUUAGCUGGAAAGGCAUAUGCAAGGGCUGUUAGAGGACACGUCCUGGUAGACGCUGCUUUAAAUGCGAUCCUCUUAACACGAUGCUAUGGUGUACCAGUUUUUUCAGGAGAGGAAGACGUUCCAGAUACCUCAGAUGACCUUCGGGAGGCCCUGAAAUGCUGUGAUGCUUUCCUGGCAGAGGAGAUGACUGACGAAGUGGUUUGCCAGCAGGAUGUAUUUGACUGGAUAAAGGAGAAAAUGGAAGCAGAGAAAGAAUGUUUGUCCGAGUUCCCAACAGGAAGACUCUGGAUCCAGUACAUGGGGAUGGUUGAGUUGUUGAAGACGUUUCUGAGAUCUCAAAAGACGGGACAUGCAUUCCUAUCUUGCCGCAUCUGGACAUAACUUCUACGUGAAAUCAGUGCAGAUCCAUCUUCAGGAUAUGCUGGAAUUGAAAGAAACAAGCGCUGAUGUCUACAACAAGUUCAGUUCUUGUCUUUUUGUCAUUCGGCGCAGUGACCGCUUCUGGGCUGGGUUGCCAAGUGAUCUGGUCAUCGAAGAGGCUCUUUUGUGGACAAUCAAAUCCACAGGGGGUUUGACAAGAGGCCGGGGUAUGGAAGAGAAGCAGCGGACACGCUGGCUUCUUGCAAUGCCCGCCUGUGCUGACAUCAAUGAAUCAAUGCAGGAACUUACAGCACUGGGAUUCUUGGUACUGGUCUUGUUUGCUUCCCUGUCCAGCGUUUACUACAUUCACGUGUUGAAGAGAUCCGCACAAGAAACUGUCUCGACAACGAACUACAAUAAAAUCUACAGUGGGACUCCAAGACUUGAGAAGGGACCCACUUAUAACACACAUUAUAUCUGUGAUGUUAGUAUUGGUCGUCUAGGGAACCAAAUGUUUCUAUAUGCAUCAAGUUAUGGAAUAGCGAAGGAUAAAACAUGAUAAUGGCUGUGGUUAAAGAGCGGCCGCUGAACACUGUUUUCGCCUUGAACGCCACCAAGGUAGACAAAUCUGUAUGUGCCAACACCACGCCACGGGUGCUUAGCGUCUGUUGCAUUUACGACAAAACAUUCCUCAAUUUCCCCUCAAACUCAAACUAUAGAUUAGGAGACUACCUCCAGUCUUGGAAAUAUUUCCAGAACCACACGGCUGCCAUUAGAAAACAGUUCACAUUCAACAAGACGAUUACUGCGAAGGCACAGGAGUUAUUGCACAACGUAAUGGUUGAAUAUAAACGCCGGACAUCUAAUGUAUCGGACACGACAAACGCCGAACAGCCCACGUUCAUCGGCGUGCAUAUUAGAAGAACCGAUUUUGCUAACAGCGUGCAUAAAUCUUUAGGCUAUCCUUUGGCAUCAAAAGAAUAUAUAGUAAAGGCCAUGGAAUAUUAUACAAACAAGUUUUCAAAAGUAAUAUUCUUGAUAUGUUCCGAUUCUAUCGACUGGGUUAAGAGUAAUUUUAACUCGAGCAACAUGUUUUAUUCAGUUGGAAAUUCACCCGAAGUAGACAUGUGUAUUCUGUCGUCAUGUAACCAUAGCAUCAUGACGGUGGGCACAUUUGGCUGGUGGGCCAGUUUCCUCGCUGGUGGGGAGACCGUCCACUACAAACACUUGGCACGAAAGGGCUCGAAACUGAGAAGAGAAUAUUCUUCUGACUACAAGGACUAUUUCUACCCAGGAUGGAUUGGAAUGGAUUGAUGUAUGACUGCAUUGGAAUGGACUAGCGAAUACGUGGAUUUGAACGUCUUUUCAUUUCUGUUUUAUUUCAUUAGAUUUGAUUUUUGGGGUUUUUUGGGGGUUUUUUGGGGGGUGGGGGGAGGGGGUGGGUGGUGCUUUGUGUUUGCUUUUGUGUGUGUGUGUGAACUCGCAUAACAGAUGUUAACAAAGGUCAACACAUGCAUAUUAUUUUAUUAAAUAUGAAAUAUUACAAUAUAUAAGUGAGGAAUUUGAUGACCCAUGAACUGUUUUACUAAUUGAUAUUUUCAACAUUCUGCCCAUUUUGAACUAUCUUAUGGAAAUAGUUCAGUUAAAGUGUGUACAUAUCACGAUAGAAGAAUAACAGGACCAGGAUUUGAAGCCGACAAGAAAAAAUAUAUUUGGGAAAAGAAAUGUAGUAGAAUCUUUUAAAUUCCACCCAGAAUUAAUUUUAAAUUUGUUAAAACAUUUUGAUUUCUAUACAAAGCUUUUAAUUAUAUUUACCUUGAUUUUUGUAUUAUAUUGCACUUUUCUCCACAGCUAUUUACACUGUGACUUACAUAAUUAUUUUUAAUGUAAAUAAUUAUUCAUAUUUUACCAUUGUUUGACACCCAAUAGCCAAUGUGUAUUUUUGUGCUGGGCUGCCUUUAAACAUUCAUUCAUUGAAUUGUGCAUCAUCGAAAGUAUUUGUCUUGUGUGUUUACUGACCGACUGAUUCACCUAAAAUGUAGGAGGAUUACACCUCUAAGACGUUGGAGAAUUGUAUGUCAUGUGAGAGGAAUCUAACACUCCAAAUAUGUACAUAGUCGUGAUUGAAAUGUCAGACCGAAUGAAAAAAUCACAUAGAUCUGCUGUAAAGUGGUUAAAAAUAUAAAAAUAUAAAAACGUAUCUAUAGAGCCGAUUCGGAUAUUUCAUUGUCUCAAAUCUAUAUUCCAAACGAUGCAAUGUUUAGGUAAAAUAUUAAACUCCAAUGUACCCGAUCAUCUAUAUGAAACUAAUAGUUUACAUAAUGAAAUCAUUAAGGCAUUAAAAUCGGUGUCUAAACAUUUAAUUAAAGGUAAUAGCGACACUCACAAAAAUCAAAGAAAAGAUCUGCAUCUCAUUGCUCGAGAUGUCUACGUGUUAUGGCGAGACAUGGACAGGACUUAUAUAGUUCAAUAUAUGAACAAAAUACGUAGGCAGUUUAAAUACGCUUUUAGCAUGUCAACACGAGAGAAACCAAAUGUAACCGACAUGAACUUUCGUGAAUAUUAGAAAAAUGUUUUUCUAGAAAAUAAUAAGCAAAAUCUCUUGGCAGUUGUGGAUGGUGUGACAGGGGAAGAAAGUAUUGCAGGGAUGUUCAAAGAACAUUAUCAAGAACUUCUAAACAGCAUCACCGAACAUAUGGUGAAGAUUAUAUGACUAAUGAUUGAAAUUAUGUAGCUGAAAUGAACGUAAAUCCCAGUGAGGUAAUGAAGUUUGUUUUUAAACUUAGCAGUGGGAAAUCAACAGGGAAUGACGGUCCCCAAGUGGAACACCUCCAGUAUACGUCCAAGAAAUUAUUUGUUCUAUUGUCCGUUUGUUUUAGUGUCAUGUUCGUACAUGGGCAUGUAUCUAGUAGUAUGACAGAUGUUAUUCUUGUUCCUAUUGUGUAAAACAAAACAGGUGAUGUAACAGACAAUUAUCGUCUACAUGCCUUAGCAACUGUGAUAUCGAAAUUUAAAGUUAUGCAACAUGUAUUGUUAUCACGAAAAUUGGACUACUAGUUUGGUUUAAAAAAUGGGACAUCUCUCAAUAUGUGUUUAUUUGCCUUUAAAGAAGUUAUGCACCUUUACAUUUCACAAGGUAUUUAUGUAUAGGUUUACUUUUUGGAUGCGAAAAAACAACAACGUUUCAUUGAGUAAAUCUAUAUAUAACAUUUUAAACAAAGGCUUUUGUAGUUCGCUUUCGCAAAGGUUGGUAUAUUUCCUGUAAGUUUAAUGGGACAAAUGUCGUCCGGCAAGGGGUUAACGUCACCCUUAUUAUUUAAUAUAUAGUAUGUGUAUAUGUCUGUGUCUGUCUCUCUCUCUCUCUCUCUCUCUCUCUCUCUCUCUCUCUCUCUCUCUCUCUCUCUCUCUCUCUCUCUCUCUGUGUGUGUGUGUUCGGGAAAAAACAAUAGAGACGUUCGGGGAAAAUGAGGCGGCCUGGAGCCUUUUUAUCUCGUGUUUCUAUUAUUCUACUCACAAAGUUAGUUGUAAUCCGGUAGUAAUACAAGUAUGAAUGAAUCAUAUCAUGUCCCUUGUUGCUGUUAGGUAGGAAGGUCGCAUUAAUGGCUAAACAAACAUUCCCAGAUUCAACAAAUCUCUGGUAAAAAUACGAAAUCGUGUUCUUUUUAGGUCAAAUCAAUUUUCGUUUUGUUUACCUGAAAAAGACCUUAUAUAUUACUAUGCCAAGAUUGUUGUUUUUUACCCUCACCUCCCAACUUCGGGUAUGGCCUAUUUGUAGUGCAUGAGUAAGACACUUCGUUAUCUAAAAGGACGUGCACUGAACAUAGCAUACUUUUUCGCGUGUAGUGGACUUGUGAAAACAGUUCGGGUAUAGAAAUAUGUGCAACGAAAUCCAAUGAUAAAAUGAAGAAUAUAUCAAUCAAGAAAACUCAAUGUUAUUGUAAAAAGGCUAAUUUUUAUUACAUGUUAUUUAUCAAUUUUGUGACAAACUCUGUUAUGUUGGUAUUUUUUACCAAAAUGUUUUAUAAAAAAAAUGUACAGUAUAAUUUUAUGAACAUCGAUAUUUUGUUGUAAUAUGUAUUGUGUACUAGCAAAGUGUAAAUAUACUAAUAUGCGGUUUUAUUCAAACAUUAUUGUGAUGCCAAAUACUAUAUUGAAAAGGUGUGAAUUUAAAGAUUAUACAUGGAAAUGAUGGAUUUUAUGAUCAUUUAUGAUCACUCUUCAUUUCACCCCCACCCCCAAUUUAACAUUAUAUUAUAUUCAUUCUUUGUUUUCCUGUUUAAACGAAAAUAAUAUGUGUACCAUAACUAUCCUUCUCUACAAAAUCAGUGCCAGUAUCAUCAUCGGCACAAACGUAUAGACUCAUUGAAACUUCUGUGGACUGAACAUAUGCAGUAUUACACAUGUAGAUGAAAUGUGAUCAUGAGAAUCCAGAGGCAGAUUAAUCAGCGACACUGGUUCGUUAAUGACUUGACUUAACACAGGGACAAAUUACGGUUGUUUCUUUAAUCUGACGUACGUAGUAACCUAGACAACCAAGAAUGUUGUUAAUAUGUGUUAUAUAGUAUAGUUUAUUAGCAUUAAGCCUUCCAGCUCAUAGUCAUACAUUUUAUAUACAAAUCAAUAGUAUUUGACACGUGGUGCACAAUAAUUGCACAAGUUUAAACACAGAUAUUUUGCGCCAGAAGUAUUUUUUGAUCUAUUUUGAACGUAAUUGCAUGUACAAUGGAUAUUUCAAAAUUACAUAUCUGACAUUUCUGUUGCGACCUUUCAAUACCGUAAUAUCUACCUUGUUCAACAAACAACUGGUGAGAAGAAACACGAUUUUAGUUUUUUUUAAUAAGAGUAGUGUAACAAUCUGGCAGUGAUAUUCUAAGGUAGUAUUGCAAGCAAAACGUAUCUGUUAAAUGCUUACAUACAUUACAAUUAGGAGAGUUUUCUAGCAUAGUGUCUCUCUCUUGAAUAAAGUUAUCAGUUAAACGUCUUUGUACACUGCCUUUGAUAUAUCUGACUAGUAAGAACUAGAAAGAAAACCCAUGGAUCCAUAGGAGGAUCAAUUGUAGGAAAAUCGAGAGAUUAAUGUUACAUGGGGAGAAGUUGAUGAUGAUUACAAACUUAGCGCCACGUUUUAUUCACUGUGUCCAACAUACGUCUUUCGCUUUACCCUCCUUUGAAUUUCUGGAUGUACCUCCGUUGAUGAUCUCUCUCUCUCUCUCUCUCUCUCUCUCUCUCUCUCUCUCUCUCUCUCUCUCUCUCUCUCUCUCUCUCUCUCCACUGCGCGUGCUGUAACCUCACCGUGGUGCAGGGGUGUAACAUUCUCUUUGAGAGCACAAAUCCUCUUGUUUUCUUUGAGAUACAAUUGAAAUUGUGAGUGAAAGUCAGUAUCUAUCUGUGAUAUUUGUAUUUUUGCACAGUUGUUUGCACUGUUUUUAUUUAAAUCUUGAAUUUUUAUAUUGAUGUUGAUCAUCACU